AUUGAACGCUGGCGGCAGGCCUAACACAUGCAAGUCGAACGAGUGGCGGACGGGUGAGUAAUGUCUGGGAACCUGCCUGGUGGAGGGGGAUAACUACUGGAAACGGUAGCUAAUACCGCAUACCAUCGGAUGUGCCCAGAUGGGAUUAGCUAGUAGGUGGGGUAAAGGCUCACCGAGGCGACGAUCCCUAGCUGGUUUGAGAGGAUGACCAGCCACACUGGGACUGAGACACGGCCCAGACUCAUACGGGAGGCAGCAGUGGGGAAUAUUGCACAAUGGGCGAAAGCCUGAUGCAGCCAUGCCGCGUGUAUGAAGAAGGCCUUCGGGUUGUAAAGUACUUUCAGCGGGGAGGCGUUACCCGCAGAAGAAGCACCGGCUAACUCCGUGCCAGCCGCCGCGGUAAUAC
rnacentral:rRNA from 1 species